rnacentral:rRNA from 1 species
GACAGAGGGUGCAAACGUUGUUCGGAAUUACUGGGCGUAAAGCGCGUGUAGGCGGCCCUGCAAGUCGGAUGUGAAAUCCCACGGCUCAACCGUGGAAGUGCAUUCGAAACUGCAGGGCUAGAGUCCUGGAGAGGAAGGUGGAAUUCCUGGUGUAGCGGUGAAAUGCGCAGAUAUCAGGAGGAACACCGGUGGCGAAGGCGGGUCUCUGGGCCGUAACUGACGCUGAGGAGCGAAAGCAUGGGGAGCGAACAGG